rnacentral:tRNA from 1 species
GGAGAGGUGGCAGAGCGGCUUAAUGCGCUGGAUUGCUAAUCCGGUAUACGCCGUAAAGGCGUAUCGGGGGUUCGAAUCCCCCCCUCUCCG